rnacentral:rRNA from 2 species
UACGGGGGGGGCAAGCGUUGUUCGGAAUUACUGGGCGUAAAGGGUGCGUAGGCGGUGCUCUAAGUCGGAUGUGAAAACUCUGGGCUCAACCCAGAGCCUGCAUCCGAAACUGGAGUGCUAGAGUUCUGGAGGGGGUAGCGGAAUUCCUGGUGUAGCGGUGAAAUGCGUAGAUAUCAGGAGGAACACCGGUGGCGAAGGCGGCUACCUGGACAGAAACUGACGCUGAGGCACGAAAGCUAGGGGAGCAAACAGG